UCUUCAUGUCUGUGUGAUAAUACUGCCGUGUGUUCACACCUCUGAAGGACAGAAACACUGUCUAGGAUUCCAGCUGAUUACUGAGGAUAACUCUGAUCCAAAAUAAUCAAAUAAGCUGCAUAAAAGAGACCAGCAGCAGCCGAUAAGACGAUCAAACCCAUCAUCAUCUCCAGCCUCGUGGAAUAAAAUAAGAUCACAGAUGACAAAAAUUAUCUCGCGGUUUCUUCUCCUUCUCAUUUCUCACAUCAAAAAAGCAAUCUCUGAAAUUAAACGCCUUAUCUCCGGAACAAAGGAAGAAUUCGUUUGAUAAAGAUGAGAACGGGCCGAUGCUAUCUGUCCGAGCUCGGAAACGGGGGAAAUGUACUAAUUAAACAAAUUUUAAUAUUUCCAUUUAAGUUGUCAUGCUUUAGCUGUAAGCCAUUAAAAAACGCAAGAAAUUCUCAUUUCUGUCAAACACAUCUCUGAAAGAGAGAGAGAGGCUUACUGGGUCAGGCAGGAUUUCCCCGGUUUAUCCCGUAAACACGCGGGAGUUGGGCUCGGACAGAAAAAUGAACUGACAUCAUACACGCAUUCCAGGAUUUCAAGCGGCCCGUGAAUCUGACGCACAACCCGCACGGGAUCAUGGGUCCACCUCACGAGCGCUUGCUCACGUCAUUGUUCGAAUAAGUAACAGCAGGUUGUUUCGACCACGUAUCUCCAAGAUCUGGAAUGAAAUAGACUACCCCUCUGAGGAGCUGCUGAUAGUUCUUACUCGUUACAAACCGCAUGCUCUUAUCUGAACACUAAAGGAGAUUUUAAGAAGAAUUUUAUCAAGUGAAAAAAAAAAUAUUGUAUUGUCUGAUUGUUUUUAUGAAAUAUAUAAAAUAUAUAUUAAGAAUAUAUUUAAAAUAUAUUCAUAUUUUAAAACAAUCUUGCAUAUUGUCACACCCUGGACUCAUUAUGUUGUGUUUUCCCUCCAUGUGUUCCCGAGGAUUAAUCGCCACUCCGGACCCAGAGCCCAGCCCACCAUUUCACCAAUGCGUGGAGCACAUGCCCAAGCCCACCGCUGACAGAGAGCCAGAGCCCGCCACACCCAACGAGCCAUCGCCGCAUGGAGCAACAGGACUGAGGAUGGCCAUCGUGCAAGUGCAGCGGAAGACGUCAGUCAAGGUGUGUGAGCCGGCAACAGCGCCUGUGAUGAGGGAGAGUGAUACGGACGGUGUGAGCGAGGAGAGGAGCUCCGCCCCCUGCACCCCAGCUGAGGGUGAGCUGACUAUGGUGCAGCAAAAGGGCCAAAAUGAGGAGGAGGAUCUCAUUGACUGGGAAUCUGAUCUGGAGAUUGAACUGCCCCCUCUCUGUUGUCUCCUCUGGUCCCGUCCAGCCCUCCUUCGUCGAUGGCAUUAACCCGUCGGCUCCACCAUGGCUCCUAGCUCCCUCCUGUCCGCCGUGGCCCGGCAGUUCACAAGCUCGGCCUGGCUCCCUCAUCCCUCUGGCUCCACCUUGGUCUGACGUCGACCAUCCUGCGCCUCAGGACUCCACCCCUCUAGCUCCGUCGUCCACUCGGCUCCACCUCAGUCCUCUGUCGCUCCGGCUCCACCACGGCCUCCUGGAUCCACAUCUCCGCAUUGGUCGCCAGCGCCAUCCACUCCGCCUAGGACCUCUGGAUCCUCCCAGGCACCCUGUUUCUUCGGCUCUUCGCCUCGGGCUCUUCUACCAAGUGCUCCGCCGCCGUUGGUCUGCCUCCUGGAGUCGGUGGCCACUCCCCCUCCAUGGCUCCUCCCUCCGUCGGCUCCACCGUAGGCCGCUGUUAUGACUGGACUCCUCCUGCUCCAAGCUCC
ensembl:lncRNA